GAAUGCUCUAUAAAACAGAUGCUACGCACUACAUUAAUUCCGUAUGCGUUUCUGUUCUGCUCUUUGCUUCCACAUUCCUUUGGCAGAGAUACCAUAACUAAGGAUAGUUCUAUCAGUGACAGCAGAGGAGAAACUCUUGUUUCGUUUGGUGAAAAGUUUGAGCUUGGAUUCUUUACUCCUAAUGGAAGCUCAGGAAGGAGAUAUAUUGGGAUUUGGUAUUACAUGUCGAAUCCACUUACUGUUGUUUGGGUCGCCAAUAGAGAUAAUCCACUUUUAGAUUAUGAUGGAGUUUUUUCAAUGGCAGAAGAUGGCAACCUCAAGAUACUGGAUGGGAGGGGGAGAUCUUACUGGUCGACAAAUCUUGGAGCAGAUUCAUCUGUGGACAGGCAAACAAAGUUAAUGGAUACUGGGAACCUUGUUGUCAGCGAUGGGGAUGGAGAAAAUCACUUGCGGAGAACUUUGUGGCAGAGUUUUGAUAACCCAACUGAUACAUUUCUUCCUGGAAUGAAAAUGAAUGAAGAUAUGGCAUUGGUUUCAUGGAAAAGUUAUGAUGAUCCUGCAUCUGGGAACUUUACUUUUCAGCUAGAUCAAGAAGCAGACCAAUUUGUCAUCUGGAAGAGAUCGAUCCGAUACUGGAGAAGUGGAGUUUCAGGUAAAGUUGGCAGCUCCAGUGAGAUGCCUUCUUCAAUAUCAUAUUUCUUAUCAAAUUUCACCUCAACUGUAGCCCACAAUGAUUCUGUGCCGUACAUCACAUCAUCAUUGUACAUAGACACAAGAAUGAUCAUGAGCUUCUCAGGCCAAAUUCAGUACCUGAAGUGGGACACUCAGAAGAUUUGGACCUUGUUCUGGGCAAUGCCAAGAACAAGAUGCAGUCUUUAUAAUGCUUGUGGAAAUUUUGGUAGCUGCAACAGUAAUAAUGAACUUGUUUGCAAGUGUUUGCCUGGGUUUCAGCCAAUCUCACCGGAAUAUUGGAAUUCUGGAGACUACUCAGGGGGGUGCACCAGGAGGUCACCAUUAUGCAGCGGCAAUGCUGCAAGUGACUCAUUCUUGAACUUAAAAAUGAUGAAAGUAGGAAACCCAGAUUCUCAAUUCAAGGCUAAAAGUGAAUUGGAGUGCAAAACAGAGUGCCUUAACAACUGCCAAUGCCAGGCCUUUUCAUAUGAAGAAGCUGAAAUCACACAACAGGGAGAAUCUGGUAGUGCCAAAUGCUGGAUUUGGUUGGAGGAUCUCAGCGACCUUCAAGAGGAGUAUGAUGGUGGCCGAAAUCUCAAUGUACGUAUAUCAGUUUCUGAUAUAGAUUUAACUUCAAGGAACUGUGGGACUUGUGGUGCAAACAUAAUUCCCUAUCCCCUUAGCACUGGGCCUAAUUGUGGAGAUCCCUACUAUUUCAAUUUCUACUGCAACAUCUCCACAGGGCAACUUAACUUUCAGGCGCCAGGUGGCACUUACAGAGUCACAAAAAUCAAUUCACAAAUGCGCAAGUUCGUCAUCCAAACAAAUGAUGUCGAUAGUUGCAAGGCCAUAAAUUCAAAUACCAAAUUUUUACUGCUCAACCAAUCAUCACCAUUUCAUGUGAUUAGGUGGUGUAUGGCUGAUCUGGGAAAUUAUACUUCUGAUGCAUCAUUUACAGGAGGAGGUGAAGUAGAGGUAAGUUGGGACCCACCACCAGAGCCAACUUGCUCUUCUCCAACAGACUGCAAAGAUUGGCCAAAUUCGACUUGCCAGGCACCAGGAGAUGGAAAGAAAAAGUGUCUAUGCAAUAUGAACUUUCGAUGGGAUUGCUUGAGAUUGAACUGUACUCAAGAAGGUUACAGGAAGCAAAAAAAUAAACCUUCGAUAGGAAAGAUCCCCGCAUCCCUUAUUGUCGCAGUAGCUUUCGCUAGUGUCAUUGGUCUAGUUGUUCUGUCAAGCACUAUUAUUUUUAUGUAUUUGCAGAGAAGAAGGCUUGCAAUUGUACAAGGUAACUAGUAAUCAUAUAACUGUUAUUAAUUGAUUCUUUUUAGAAAAAGAAAUGCACUUUCACAGGUUCUGCGAUGAGGAUUUUAGAAAACUAAGCCCAACAUCAAAACUCAGGUAUUGAAGUUAGAGGGUAUAAGAAGUUAUUACUUGUUGGUAUCUUUUCUAUUUAUUAGAUAUGAAAUGUCACAUCUCUAACACCACCUUUUGACACUUGCUAUCCUACUUGUAUGUGGUACAAUUUUAUAUUACAGCAUAUAUUUUUUAUUAGAAAGCACACGGGUUAAGCUCUACUGUUAAGAACCUAGAAUGAAAAAAGUGUAAUUAAUUGAUUAAAAGCACAAGAGGCGAAAUAAUAGAAAGCUAAGGUUCACAUAGCAGAAAUACGUUGCCAAAUUAAAACUUGGCGUGAAAUGGGUAAACAUGUAGCAAAUAGACAAUGUGAAUGUGCAUAAUGAGGAGCGUAUAAUUAGUUCUGAUAUCAUAUUACAAAUCAAGUUCAACCUCAAAUUCAGGUGUUGAAGUUAGAAGGUCUAAUAUGUUAUCAAAUUUUGAUAUUUUGAGUUUAUUAGAUGUGGAAUUUUGUAUCUCUAACUGGGAUAUGAUGCUUUGUUAUGUUAUGGCAAUGAUCCUGUAAAAUCAGGAAACAGGGGAACUCUGCAAAGACAUCUAGGCCUUCAAUUGUAUAACAGUGAGCGACUUGUGAAAGAUAUAAUUGACUCAGGUAGGUUCAAAGAAGACGAGACAAAAGCCAUGGAUGUGCGAUAUUUUGACUUGGAAAGCAUAUUAGCUGCUACAAAUAAGUUUUCAAAUUCAAACAAGCUAGGACAAGGUGGGUUUGGACCUGUUUACAAGGUAAUAACCCAUUUAUUUUCCUCGUGUUGGUUAUCAGAAAUUCAAACAUUAAGUUCAUUUGUCAGUUAGGUUAUGGUUAAAAUUGGAUCUCUAUGGGUUCUACAAUCAGGCUAUAUUUCCGGGAGGAGAAGAGAUUGCUGUUAAGAGGCUCUCAAGUGGUUCUGGUCAAGGCUUGCAAGAAUUUAAAAAUGAGAUUGUACUGAUUGCCAAACUUCAGCAUAGGAAUCUUGUCAGGCUUUUAGGCUAUUGUGUUGAAGGAGAUGAAAAGAUGCUACUCUAUGAAUACAUGCCCAACAAAA
rnacentral:misc_RNA from 1 species